AGCAGUCGCCGCGUUAAUACCAGCAGCCCAAGUGGUGGUCGCGAUUAUUGGGCGUAAAGCGCGCGUAGGCGGAUAUUUAAGUCAGGGGUGAAAUCCCGCAGCUCAACUGCGGAACUGCCUUUGAUACUGGGUAUCUUGAGUAUGGAAGAGGUUAGUGGAAUUGCGAGUGUAGAGGUGAAAUUCGUAGAUAUUCGCAGGAACACCAGUGGCGAAGGCGGCUAACUGGUCCAUAACUGACGCUGAGGUGCGAAAGCGUGGGGAGCAAACAGGAUUAGAUACCCCAGUAGUCCCUGUCUCUUAUAC
rnacentral:rRNA from 1 species